GACGAACGCUGGCGGCGUGCUUAACACAUGCAAGUCGAACGGUAAGGCCCUUCGGGGUACACGAGUGGCGAACGGGUGAGUAACACGUGGGUGAUCUGCCCUGCACUUCGGGAUAAGCCUGGGAAACUGGGUCUAAUACCGGAUAGGACCACUGCCUGCAUGGGUGGUGGUGGAAAGCUUUUGCGGUGUGGGAUGGGCCCGCGGCCUAUCAGCUUGUUGGUGGGGUGAUGGCCUACCAAGGCGACGACGGGUAGCCGGCCUGAGAGGGUGACCGGCCAGACUGGGACUGAGAUACGGCCCAGGCUCCGACGGGAGGCAGCAGUGGGGAAUAUUGCACAAGGGGCGCAAGCCUGAUGCAGCGACGCCGCGUGAGGGAUGACGGCCUUCGGGUUGUAAACCUCUUUCAGCAUCGACGAAGCGCAAGUGACGGUAGGUGCAGAAGAAGGACCGGCCAACUACGUGCCAGCCGCCGCUGUAA
rnacentral:rRNA from 1 species